AUAUAUAAAUUCUCCAGGUUGUUUGGGGUUACUCAGGAUCAAGACUUGGUACAGAGUUGGUCUCCACAUGGGUUGAGACUGAAAGAACAAACGAAAAACGUCCUAUGAACAGGGUUGAACACAGGAUGUAAAAUUUUUCCCCUUCAGAUUUCUUUGAUAUCUGAUACAACUGGAUAAUGAUGUCCCAGGAGAGGAAAUAGAUGCAAAGCGUGAUAAGUUCUGGGCUUCAAUCCUUCUAGAAUGAUAUCUCUACAUGGCAACCAGGGUAUAUGCUGAACAACACACAUGCUCUUGGUUAUCUUAACUUUCAGGAGCAGACAUUGAGAGGGAAAAGAACCCAAACCUAGCUACAAAUCAUCAAACAUCAGCCUUGGGAGCCCCAGAGACAGCUGCAAGCAGGGAGCUCUCAAGGACGCGUGAUUGCAGGAUAAUUUCAAUGAAGAUGAUGCUGGGCAGUUACUGAGUCAGUCACACACUUGAGUUACUGCCUUGAUGACUUCUACAACAGAGUGGAGAAGUUCUGAUUGAUGAACUCAAGGCCACCAACUUUCCUGUUGACAAGAAGGGUGAAUUCCAGCUCUCAACAUCUCUGCCCGAUCGGCGAGUCAAAGACUCUUUUCAUGUUGGCAACAAGCAUCUGGAAGAGAAGAGAAGGGCUGCUGAUGACUAAGAGAGGCCCCUAAUAGGAACUAUGGACAAGAUGAAGAGAGAUUAUCUGCCAAGAGUGAUCUGCCCCAAAUUGCACAAGUGGAGAAGCCAAGGUUCAGCCCCACUACCUGAUUGCUUUUCUUCUUUGUUUGCU